CCGGCGCACGGGUGAGUAACACGUAUGCAACCUGGCCGUGACAGAUGGAUAACCGGGAGAAAUCCCGCCUAAUACAACAUAAUGCCGGGAGGGGACAUCCCCUGCCGGUCAAAGGGGGCGACCCCGGUCAUGGAUGGGCAUGCGGCGCAUUAGCUAGACGGCGGGGUGACGGCCCACCGUGGCGACGAUGCGUAGGGGUUCUGAGAGGAAGGCCCCCCACACUGGGACUGAGACACGGCCCAGACUCCUACGGGAGGCAGCAG
rnacentral:rRNA from 1 species